rnacentral:miRNA from 1 species
UCCAGCUGUUUUGGGACUACAAUGCCCAUCAUCCCUGACCACCGGUCCUGUUUCCUAGGGAUGAUGGGAGUUUUAGUCCCAAAACAGCUGGA